AAUGGGGGCAACCCUGAUCCAGCCACGCCGCGUGAGUGAAGAAGGCCUUCGGGUUGUAAAGCUCUUUCGGCCGGGAAGAAAUCGCAUGGGUUAAUACCCUGUGUGGAUGACGGUACCGGCAUAAGAAGCACCGGCUAACUACGUGCCAGCAGCCGCGGUGAUACGUAGGGUGCGAGCGUUAAUCGGAAUUACUGGGCGUAAAGCGUGCGCAGGCGGUUAUAUAAGACAGAUGUGAAAUCCCCGGGCUUAACCUGGGAACUGCGUUUGUGACUGUAUAACUUGAGUGUGGCAGAGGGGGGUGGAAUUCCACGUGUAGCAGUGAAAUGCGUAGAGAUGUGGAGGAACACCGAUGGCGAAGGCAGCCCCCUGGGUCAACACUGACGCUCAUGCACGAAAGCGUGGGGAGCAAA
rnacentral:rRNA from 1 species